AGGAAGGAAGGAGAACCAAUGGUCUGACAUAAACCAGCCUUCUAUAUUUCUAUAUUAGUUGAAAUAAAACUGCAUGCAGAUAAAGCCUGCAAAAAUGUGGGACAUAUGAAUUUGGUAGCACAAGCAAUGCUGGUGCUGUGACAUGUCUCCUUCUUGCAAAAUCAAGGCAUCAUACGACUGAUCCUGUCACCUCUGCUGCCUCCCCGAGCAGCUUCCCAGUUCAGAUGUUCAGCCAUGACCUCUCCCAGAGGCAUCACCUCAUAGGGUUUGAGUUCAGCCACACCUUGAGCUGCUCGGCCAGCAAACCAAAGACAGAGGGCUCUUCCAAACACCCGGCAUGCAAAGGGCAUUUCAAGACACCCGACUUCCUGCAGCUUAUGCAUGAGCAUCGAUGGAACGCUGCCUGUUAACCAGGAAACUGUUCCCAUGGCAACCCAUCUCUUGCAUUUGAAGAAAACAGGGAUGAGAAGGCAAAGAGACAAUGGUGACAAAAGAAGAUGCAGUUUCAAUACGAAAUGGGCACCAGGAACAAAAGCCUGAAGGCUUUGUCAUCCUCUGACAUGGGAAUAUCCACCGAUUCCAGGUCCACCGAUUCACCUUCUCCUAAUUGACAUGACGCUUCAGAUGCGCCAGAACCUGAUAUCUGAACACGCCCCGUCUGUGAUACAGGAAGGCUUGGUGGUGCAAACAACUCCUUUUGGAAUUUCCAGUCCAUAAGAUCCAACUGGGGCAGUGGGUGCUGAAUCGUAAAUGGAAGGAGGAACUUCUACAACCAAAGAAAGGAAGUUCCUUAUAUGAAAUCUGCUGUCCGGAGGGCUGAGAAGGGUUGGACUCACUACACAUGAGCAAAGGUGGUGACUGGACCUGAAAGAGGGUGGACGGUUAUUCCA